CACACCUGUUCCUUAAGUGUGGAUUAGUUAAAUUACCUGUAGUCUGUAAUAUUUUAGGUGCUGAUAAAGUGCACUUUGUUCAGGUAUUGAGGUUUGAACCAUUCAGUGCUUCACAUUUAUGCCUUUUGGCAGACACAAUUCUCCAGAGCAACUUGCAUUUAUCUGAUUUAUACCAAUGAGCAGUUCAGAGUUAAGGGCUUGCUCAAGGCCCCAGCAGUAGCAGCUCAGCAAUGCUUAGAUUUGAACGAGCUUCACAGCAGACAGCCAACAUCUUAACCAAUGAUCUACCACAGCCCUUAGAAUGCAAAAAGAUUUGGAGUGAUAUGAACAAAACCUCAGACUCCAGCUGUUGCAUUCUGGACUAAGUAAAGCUUUAUGCUCCUAGUGGAACAUCCAGACAUCAAGGCAUUAGAAGUCCAUCCUGGAGGCAGUUCUCCACCACGCCACCAGAGGGAAAUCUCCUCCAAGUUCUAUAACUCUUCAUCAUUUGUUCGUUCAAUUUCCUAAGUAUUUAAACCACAUGGACAUAAUAGUGAUAGUUUACUCUUGAAUUAAGCAGUCCCAUGCCGAAUGAUAAAAGGAGGUGUGCAAGCUUUUUGUUACCGUACUUUAAGGAAGCCGUGAGCCAAGGCAAUAAAUAAGACCAUCCAUCCAUCCAUCCAGCCAGCCAGCCAGCCAGCGUUGUUUUCCUUCAGCAUGGAGCAGGUCACUGAUGACAGCCCAAGGAACUCGGUGCCAAAUACAGUCGAAGAAAUGAAAUGCUAAAUAAGAUGACUAGAGCAAAACCUAGAAGCAUCAUGUGAAGUCGGUUAGGUUGUUGUUCACAGUACAGACCUGAUUACUUUUCACAUGUGAGUACAUUCUGUUUACAACAAAACAUUUCAGCUGAAAAUUAAAAUGAACUACUAAUGUAGUUUUGUGAACUAAAUCUGAUCUUCUCAUACGUUCUUGUCCACAAUCCUUCCAUCCAAAAUAAAUCCAAUUUUACUUUCAAACUCAGGGCAACAUCCUCUACCUGAAGAUAAUUUGAUUUGAAGUCAUUUUUUAAGAUGUUAUGAUUAGAAAUCUCAUGUAGUGACUAUAGUGAAGGAUUGUUUGGAAUCUCACCAUAGCAAAAACAAAAUUCCUAAACUUGAGUGGUGAAACUUUAGAGUCUUGGGUAACGGGCUAUGAUGGACUGUAAAUUUCAUAAUGCUUGGCUACAUGGUUACUUCAGCAUUAAGAUUAUUGCUAUUGUGGACCAUCUGCCUUGAUCUCGAAUAUCUAAACUGAAUAUACAGUAUGUCAUAACAGCAGAAUUAUGUUGCCAUUGAGUUUCAGACCAUAGGAAAGCAUGCUAGCAUUUCUGACUCUGACUUAGCAUCCAGUCCUGAAACAUUUACAAUAAUAACUGGAAAAUGACAAUUCCCCAAGGCAUUAUGUAAGCUGCCCCCGAACACAAAAGCCAUAAAGAAUCUUGUGACCCAAUGACUCAUCAUGGAUCCAUGAAUCCAUGAAUAUGAAAACCACAAAUACUCUCAUCACUGCUGAGAUUUAAAGUUUUCAAACCAUGGACCUGUUUCCAAAAACUGCAAUUAAUCAGUUCAUCCAUUCGUUUAUUCACUUCAGUAAUUGCUUUAUUCUUGGCAGUGGAUCCAAAGUCUAUCCUGAUAACACUGGGCAUGAGGAAGAAAUACAGAAAUACUCUGUUCCUGAGUAUGAAAUGUUCUUUCAGUCUGAUGGACAAAAUAAACAGGACACCAUCAAGCAAGGAUUAGAUAUUAGUCAAAACUAAUUGUUUUAGUAGACUGAUAAGUUGUUGAAGAGAUAAAGAAUAUCCAGGAAUUAUAAACUGUUUUGUGUUUCCUAAAUGUAAUCAUCAUUCAUCUGUUUCUUCCACUACAUUUUUCUAUUCCAUCAGGUCACAUGACUCAAAAAAUCCAGAGAUACCUUAAAUCUGUACUCAGUUUCCCCCCAUUAUGGGAUUUUGAAUGGUUUCCUCCUUUAAUCUGUUGCUGCACUGAACCCUGUCGAGAUUUGUACAUGAUAAAUGAAGUAAGUGUUCACUAUUACAUUACACUAUUACUAUUACUCUUACCACAUCCUUCAGUAUUCUUUCACCAGCAUCAUGGUUUUAUACAAAGCCUCGCAAAGGACCCUUUCUAGGUCCCUUCCCAAAAAGCUUAACUUAAGAAUUUAGUUCUGUUUUGUAUUUCUGUCUUGUAUUUUGUCUCAUAAAUGCCUCCAGGGCCAUCUGUCAGGGGUGAUGCGAUGAAUCUUUCUGUUCAUCCCUGUUCCAUAAAACUACGAUAUUCAAAUAAUUAGUCCUUGAUUCACAUUUAAUUAAAAAAAAAACAUAAAUAAAUAAAGUCAUCCAAAAUGUUGUAUGCUGCACAAAAGGCACUUAUCCGUUUGUAAUCCAUCGUGUUAUAAGGAUUUAUGCAGCUUCCGUUUGGAAAUGUGAACUCAUGGAAUAUUCCGGAUAUUUCGUAGGGGUGAAUGUGAUGAGGUGGCAGAACUGAAGGAAUGUUGUGGGACACUAAACAAACAUGUAAACUUAUAUAAAGGAUGACUAAAGGAAAAAUCAUGAGAUUAAAUGGAUUCAUCUGUUAAUGCAAGAACAAUAAGAUGUUUUAAGGAUUUUCCAUACAUCCAUUUUCUGCACCAAUUAUACUCCAGGCACAAGGUGGGGGGUCAGGCUGGAGAGGGUGCCAACACAUCACAGGGCACACACAUUCACACACACUACAGAUGAUUUAGAGGUGCCAAUCAGUCUACAACAUGCAUCUGGACUGGGAGAGGAAACCCAAGUACCAGGAGGAAACCCCCAGAGCACAGGAACUCCACACACACAGGAGCAGAGGCAGGAACCGAAACCUCAAUCCCAGAGCUAUGAGGCAAACACACUAACCACUAAGCCACCAUGAAGAUGUUUGAUGAUUUAUAUUUCAAGGUAAAGUGUGGUAAUAGUGAUUGUCUGCUAAUUAUUUAAUUAAUGCUUAUUUUUCUCUGAAUCAUGAGAUACAUACUGUAGGUUGCUGUGUCCAGCAUUAACUUCUUCAGCAAUUUGAGCAACAGUAGCUCGUCUGUUGGAUCGGAUCACACGGGCCAGCCUUCUCUCCCCACAUGCAUCAAUGAGCCCUGACCCCCCAUGACCCUGUCGCCGGUUCACCACUGUUCCUUCCUUGGACCACUUUUGAUAGAUACUGACCACUGCAGACCGGGAACACCCCACAAGAGCUGCAGUUUUUGAGAUGCUCUGAUCCAGUCGUCUAGCCAUCACAAUUUGGCCCUUUUGGUCAAAGUCACUCAAAUCCUCACGCUUGUCCAUUUUUCCUGCUUCUAACAUUAACUUUGAGGACAAAAUGUUCACUUGCUGCCUAAUAUAUCCCACCCACUAACAGGUCCCAUGAUGAGGAGAUAAUCAGUUUUAUUCACUUCACCGGUCACUGCUCAUAAUGUUAUGCCUGAUCGGGGUAUAUAAAUGUGAUAGGUCAGUACAAAAUCUCUAAGUUUUACAUUCAAAAGAAUAGAAGGUUAGUAAGAUUUUGAUGACAACAUAUUAAUGACAUACUAAAUAAGUAAACUAAAUUAUGUUAAUUGACUGUAAAUCUAUGGGAAUGACUGUAAAUCAUGUAUUGUAAAUAGAUUCUGUCAAGCUAUACCUCACACUCCUGAGCUCCCAGUGUUCUGAGUUUACAGUGUGACCACAUCAUCUUUCCGGACCUGCCUGAUCCAUCCAGAUGCUCUACCCCUGGUUGGAGUCUUGUAGCUUGGUGGUGCUCACUGCUGCUGGCGAUAGAUCUGAGUGGACAGCCUGUGACCCAGGGGACUGCUGUGGAUAGAACCACUUGGAGACUAUCACGCUGUCUUUGAACUGUUGUCAGCUUUCAGCAGGAAGGAAUUAGUUCUAUAUGAACAAUGAACUGCACUGACCUAUUAGUUCCUCAAGAGUGCUUGGUUGCUGUUGUAGAAUGCACAUUAUAAACAUUUACAUUAUUUACUGUCCAGUGUCACCCAAAUAAGGAUGAGGUUCCCUUCUGAGCCUGGUUCCUCUCAAGGAUUCCUGCACCAUUCUGAAAAUUAGUGACACAGACAAUCCUGUAAUAUCACUUUAGUGCUGCAUCUUGGAUGCGACAGAUUUGCAUGCGUAAGCCACCUCAACCCUCAGAGACAUCAAACCUUUUCAGGUGUCAUUUUAAAGGAUGAAUGAAGUUCGAAUGACGUUUUUGUAAUACAAGUGAUAGUUACUUUGCUAAUGUUAAUUAUCUUGUGUCAAUGCUGAAGUUGAUGGUUCUUUUAUCUGAACUAACCUUAACAGAAAUUUGUAGAUGUAGCCUGAUGUUCCUUGUUCUUCUACUUUAUUAGAAACCUCAAAUCCUGUUUCACAUCCUGUGUUCUCAUGUGCAGAAACUCUGUUUGUUCAUUAACUAAACUACGCUGGAGCCACACUUCCCAUUAAUAAGCAGCCACAGACUUUGUUUGGAUCCAAAACACACUCUGUUGGGUUUGAUGAAGAUAAAGGGCUUCUCGAGUUAAAACAAUGUCUCCCUCUGUAAUACUCAGCCAGACAAAAGGAAAUUCUACCAAGUUAGUUUUUAUAGACAUUUGGAUACAUUGUGGUUGUCCCUUUAUACCAAAAAAUCCACUUAGUCAUCCAGUUAACUUGUCAAAUAUCUUUUCUAGUGCACUGAAACUACUCUAACUGCAUGACAGCCUUCAUUUCUUCAACCUCUAAAUGUUUGAAGCUGUAGCGGAUCUGUUUCACUCCUGACCUGUUGUUUAAGCAUUUCUACUGGAAGCGGAGAAAGAAAGCGCCUUGCCUAUUGUUAAUGAUUUGUGGCAGCCGGUUUAGCAGAAUGUUUUCCAUGUCAGCAGUUCAUAACCACAAGUUGGAUCCCACACAUAUUUGAAAUGAUUUAAGUCAAACAGGCUAACAAAGCAUGAUUGUUUACUUGGACUAAACUGACCGAGCUCAGCUUAAUGACUUCACUCGUGUUAAUUAGUUUUCAGCCCUAACGCACUGUGCAAGUUUGGACAUUGUUAAAUAACCUCAGUUCUGUGAAGCUGAUUCUAAAUGGCAUUGACGAGAGACAUCAUACGCAAUAUUGUGUGGUUUGUCCUUGAAGACCUCAGCCAUUGCUUGGCACCAAGCUGAACCGCUGUUUCUGUUCAACACACUCGUUUCCUGGUUUUAAUACUCCUCUGUGAUCGUUACCAUGUCCUACAAAUCAAAGCUUAGCUGGAGGUGUGUGUGUGUGUGUGUGUGUGAAUGUGUGUGUUUGUGCACGUUGUGUGUGUAUGUGUGUGUGUGAUG